rnacentral:rRNA from 1 species
AUUGAACGCUGGCGGCAUGCCUUACACAUGCAAGUCGAACGGCAGCGGGGACUUCGGUCCGCCGGCGAGUGGCGAACGGGUGAGUAAUGUAUCGGAACGUACCUUUCAGUGGGGGAUAACGUAGCGAAAGUUACGCUAAUACCGCAUAUUCUCUGAGGAGGAAAGCAGGGGACCUUCGGGCCUUGCGCUGAUGGAGCGGCCGAUAUCAGAUUAGCUAGUUGGUGGGGUAAAGGCUCACCAAGGCUACGAUCUGUAGCGGGUCUGAGAGGAUGAUCCGCCACACUGGGACUGAGACACGGCCCAGACUCCUACGGGAGGCAGCAGUGGGGAAUUUUGGACAAUGGGCGAAAGCCUGAUCCAGCCAUGCCGCGUGAGUGAAGAAGGCCUUCGGGUUGUAAAGCUCUUUCGGACGGGAAGAAAUCAUGAGGGCUAAUAUCCCUUGUGGAUGACGGUACCGUAAUAAGAAGCACCGGCUAACUACGUGCCAGCCGCCGCGGUAACAC